UACGAAGGGGGCUAGCGUUGUUCGGAAUUACUGGGCGUAAAGGGCGCGUAGGCGGCCAGCACAAGUCAGUUGUGAAAUCUCCGAGCUUAACUCGGAAAGGUCAACUGAUACUGUGCGGCUAGAGUGCAGAAGGGGCAACUGGAAUUCUUGGUGUAGCGGUGAAAUGCGUAGAUAUCAAGAGGAACACCUGCGGCGAAGGCGGGUUGCUGGGCUGACACUGACGCUGAGGCGCGAAAGCUAGGGGAGCGAACGGG
rnacentral:rRNA from 1 species